CCUGCGGAGGGAUCAUUACCGAGUUAUACAACUCAUCAACCCUGUGAACAUACCUAUAACGUUGCCUCGGCGGGAACAGACGGCCCCGUAACACGGGCCGCCCCCGCCAGAGGACCCCCUAACUCUGUUUCUAUAAUGUUUCUUCUGAGUAAACAAGCAAAUAAAUUAAAACUUUCAACAACGGAUCUCUUGGCUCUGGCAUCGAUGAAGAACGCAGCGAAAUGCGAUAAGUAAUGUGAAUUGCAGAAUUCAGUGAAUCAUCGAAUCUUUGAACGCACAUUGCGCCCGCCAGUAUUCUGGCGGGCAUGCCUGUUCGAGCGUCAUUACAACCCUCAGGCCCCCGGGCCUGGCGUUGGGGAUCGGCGGAAGCCCCCUGCGGGCACAACGCCGUCCCCCAAAUACAGUGGCGGUCCCGCCGCAGCUUCCAUUGCGUAGUAGCUAACACCUCGCAACUGGAGAGCGGCGCGGCCACGCCGUAAAACACCCAACUUCUGAAUGUUGACCUCGAAUCAGGUAGGAAUACCCGCUGAACUUAAGCAUAUCAAUAA
rnacentral:rRNA from 1 species